CCUGAAGCUUGAGGUCUGAGGAUAAAUGCAGUCCUGAAGCUUGAGGUCUGAUGAUAAAUGCAGUCCUGAAGCUUGAGGUAUAAGUAGAAAUGCUGUCUUGAAGCUUUAGAUCUGAGGAUAGAUGCUGUCCUGAAGCUUGAGGUCUGAGGAGAAAUGCAGUCCUGAAGCUUGAGGUCUGAGGAGAAAUGCUGUCCUGAAGCUUGAUGUCUGAGGAUAAAUGCAGUCCUGAAGCUUAAGGCUGUGAGGAUAAAUGCAGUCCUGAAGCUUGAAGUCUGAGGAUUAAUGCAGUCCUGAAGCUUUAGAUCUUGAGGAUAUAUGCUCUCCUGAAACUUAACAUCUUGAGGAUAAAUACAGUUCUAAUGCUUUAGAGCUUGAGUACAGAAACAGUCCUGAUGCUUUAGAUCAAAUUAGUCCUGAAGCUUUACACCUUGAGGUCAAAUUAGUCCUGACGCUUUAUACUUUGAGGACAAACACAACUCUGAUGCUUUAGAUCUAGGGAAAAAGGCUGUCCUGAAGCUUGAGGUCUGAGGUUGAACAUAGUCCCGACAAAUACAGUCCUGAUGCUUUAGAUCUAAGGAUAAUUGAUGUCCUGGAGCAUGAGGUCUCAGGACAAAUGUGGUCCUGAUCCUUUACAUGUUGAGGACAAAUGUAGUCUACAAU